UGGUGGUGAUGUCCAAUCUCACGAUGGUCUUCAGAGCCCCCCAGCACGGGCCUGCUGACAACGCCAGUGGCAACUGCUGAACCAGAGAC